AUUGAACGCUGGCGGCGGGCCUAACACAUGCAAGUCGAGCGGAACUGCGGACGAGUGAGUAAUGCCUAGGAAUCAGCCUGGUAGUGGGGGAUAACGCACAGGAAGGGGAGCUAAGACAGCAUACUAUCAAAUGAGCCUAGGUCGGAUUAGAUGGGUGGUGGGGUAAAGGCCUACCAAGGCGACGAUCCGUAACUGGUCUGAGAGGAUGAUCAGUCAAACUGGAACUGAGACACGGCCCAGACUCCUACGGGAGGCAGCAGUGGGGAAUAUGUGACAAUGGGCGAAAGCCUGAUCGAGCCAUGCCGCGUGUGUGAAGAAGGUCGUCGGAUUGUAAAGCUCUUUUAGUGGGGAGGCGUUACCAACAGAAUAAGCACCGGCUAACUUCGUGCCAGCAGCCGCGGUAAUAC
rnacentral:rRNA from 1 species